AACCGGAGCUAAUACCGGAUAAUAUUUCGAACCGCAUGGUUCGAUAGUGAAAGAUGGUUUUGCUAUCACUUAUAGAUGGACCCGCGCCGUAUUAGCUAGUUGGUAAGGUAACGGCUUACCAAGGCGACGAUACGUAGCCGACCUGAGAGGGUGAUCGGCCACACUGGAACUGAGACACGGUCCAGACUCUUACGGGAGGCAGCAGUAGGGAAUCUUCCGCAAUGGGCGAAAGCCUGACGGAGCAACGCCGCGUGAGUGAUGAAGGUCUUCGGAUCGUAAAACUCUGUUAUUAGGGAAGAACAUACGUGUAAGUAACUGUGCACGUCUUGACGGUACCUAAUCAGAAAGCCACGGCUAACUACGUGCCAGCAGCCGCGGUAAUACGUAGGUGGCAAGCGUUAUCCGGAAUUAUUGGGCGUAAAGCGCGCGUAGGCGGUUUUUUAAGUCUGAUGUGAAAGCCCACGGCUCAACCGUGGAGGGUCAUUGGAAACUGGAAAACUUGAGUGCAGAAGAGGAAAGUGGAAUUCCAUGUGUAGCGGUGAAAUGCGCAGAGAUAUGGAGGAACACCAGUGGCGAAGGCGACUUUCUGGUCUGUAACUGACGCUGAUGUGCGAAAGCGUGGGGAUCAAACAGGAUUAGAUACCCUGGUAGUCCACGCCGUAAACGAUGAGUGCUAAGUGUUAGGGGGUUUCCGCCCCUUAGUGCUGCAGCUAACGCAUUAAGCACUCCGCCUGGGGAGUACGACCGCAAGGUUGAAACUCAAAGGAAUUGACGGGGACCCGCACAAGCGGUGGAGCAUGUGGUUUAAUUC
rnacentral:rRNA from 1 species